CUUGCCAAAAACACAAAUAUAAGAGGCCCAGCCUGCCCAGUGACACAUGUUCAACGGCCGCGGUAUUCUGACCGUGCAAAGGUAGCGUAAUCACUUGUCUUUUAAAUAAAGACUGGUAUGAAAGGCACCACGAAGGUUCAACUGUCUCCCCCAUCCAGUCAGUGAAACUGAUCUCCCCGUGCAAAAGCAGGGAUAAACACACAAGACGAGAAGACCCUAUGGAGCUUAAAACACCAGGCAACUGCUUUUAAACCGCAACCAAAAGGUAAAACCAUUAACCAAGCAAACAUGACCAAAUGUUUUCGGUUGGGGCGACCACGGAGAAUAAAAAAUCCUCCGAGAAGAAAAGGACUACGUCCUAAGUCACGAACAACAACUCCAAGCAUCAGAACCUCUGACCACCUUUGACCCAGUCUAACUGAUCAACGAAC
rnacentral:rRNA from 1 species